AUUGAACGAUGGCGGCAGGCCUAACACAUGCAAGUCGGACGAGUGGCUGACGGGUGCGUAAUGUAUGGGAAACUGCCCGAUGGAGGGGGAUAACUACUGGAAACGGUAGCUAAUACCGCAUCCCAUCGGAUGAGCCCAGAUGGGCUUAGCGAGUAGGUGGGGUAACGGCUCACCAAGGCGACGCUCCCUAGCUGGUCUGAGAGGAUGACCAGCCACAGUGGAACUGAGACACGGUCCAGACUCCUACGGGAGGCAGCAGUGGGGAAUAUUGCACAAUGGGCGCAAGCCUGAUGCAGCCAUGCCGCGUGUAUGAAGAAGGCCUUCGGGUUGUAAAGUACUUUCAGCGAGGAGGCGUUACUCGCAGAAGAAGCAUCGGCUAACUCCGUGCCAGCCGCCGCGGUAAUAC
rnacentral:rRNA from 1 species